AGUGAACGCUGGCGGUAGGCCUAACACAUGCAAGUCGAACGGCAGCACAGUAAGAGCUUUCUCUUACGGGUGGCGAGUGGCGGACGGGUGAGGAAUACAGCGGAAUCUACUUUUUCGUUGGGGAUAACGUCGUGAAACUUACGCUAAUACCGCAUACGACCUACGUGUGACAGCAUGGGAUCUUCGGACCUUGCGCGAUUGAAUGAGCCGAUGUCGGAUUAGCUAGUUGGCGGGGUAAGGUCCGACCAAGGCGACGAUGCGUAGCUGGUCGGAGAGGAUGGUGGGCGACACUAGAAGGGAGACACGGUGCAGAAGACUACGGGAGGAAGCAGUAGGGAAUAUUAGACAAUGGGCGGAAGAAUGAUGAAGCCAUAACGCGUGGGUGAAGAAGGCGUUCGGGUGGUAAAGACCUUUUGUUGGGAAAGAAAAGCAGCAGGUUAAUACGCGGCUGUGCUGACGGUACCUAAAGAAUAAGCACCGGCUAACUACGUG
rnacentral:rRNA from 1 species